UCAUACUAGCCGGGGCGGUAGCGGUGCCCUAUACCUGAAAUCCGCUAUAGCAGGGGGGAAUUCCCGUUUUUGAGGGUUAUUCUUGUGUGGUCAGCACCUUUAGUUGAAAUGAUGACAGAUGAGUCUUACGCAAUUGUCGGCUAUGAACCGUGUCAGAUGGGGGACCAAGCAGCACUAAGUGGUUGUGAUGAUGUGCCGUGAGGGUGCUUGUCUCGAGUGGAUGCUAUCGGCUAGCGCAUGUAAGGGUAAUUCGAAAUUCGGGUGUAUGA
rnacentral:SRP_RNA from 1 species